UGAAGACAACCAAAACAAGAGAUCACUUCUACCCUGAAUGAUUCAUUCUGUUUUACAGUGAGCAGAAGCAGCAGAGCUGGGAACAGUGAGCAGAUGUCCUGAGCUGGCCUGAGAAAGCCCAGGCAGCCACACCAAUACAACCACCAGCACACAGUUCUCAGGGUGGCUGCCUAACACCUGCAGCACUCCCACAUCCCUGUGUAAAUUGCCU
rnacentral:lncRNA from 1 species